CAUAUUAAAACACCAGUUCCCAUACAAUCACUUGAAGUUAAGCAAUGUCGAGCCUGGUCAGUGCCUAGAUAGGUGACUGCUUGGGAAUACCAGAUGCUGUAAG